rnacentral:rRNA from 1 species
UCGAGGGGUAUAGUAGCAAUACUAGAGACCGGCGCACGGGUGCGUAACGCGUAUGCAAUCUACCUUUCACAGAGGGAUAGCCCAGAGAAAUUUGGAUUAAUACCUCAUAGUAUAAUGAGUUGGCAUCAACCCAUUAUUAAAGUCACAACGGUGAAAGAUGAGCAUGCGUCCCAUUAGCUAGUUGGUAAGGUAACGGCUUACCAAGGCUACGAUGGGUAGGGGUCCUGAGAGGGAGAUCCCCCACACUGGUACUGAGACACGGACCAGACUCCUACGGGAGGCAGCAGUGAGGAAUAUUGGUCAAUGGGCGCAAGCCUGAACCAGCCAUGCCGCGUGCAGGAUGACGGUCCUAUGGAUUGUAAACUGCUUUUGUACGGGAAGAAACCCUCCAACGUGUUGGAGCUUGACGGUACCGUAAGAAUAAGGAUCGGCUAACUCCGUGCCAGCAGCCGCGGUAAUACGGAGGAUCCAAGCGUUAUCCGGAAUCAUUGGGUUUAAAGGGUCCGUAGGCGGUUUAGUAAGUCAGUGGUGAAAGCCCAUCGCUCAACGGUGGAACGGCCAUUGAUACUGCUAGACUUGAAUUAUUAGGAAGUAACUAGAAUAUGUAGUGUAGCGGUGAAAUGCUUAGAGAUUACAUGGAAUACCAAUUGCGAAGGCAGGUUACUACUAAUGGAUUGACGCUGAUGGACGAAAGCGUGGGUAGCGAACAGGAUUAGAUACCCUGGUAGUCCACGCCGNUAACGAUGGAUACUAACUGUU